rnacentral:rRNA from 1 species
UAUAGGUUGUAGGGAACUGAAAGGGACCGACCUUCGGGGAGCCUAGUACAGGUGUUGCAUGGCUGUCGUCAGCUCGUGUCGUGAGAUGUUCGGUUAAGUCCGCUAACGAGCGCAACCCUCGUCGUAUGUUAUAUGUGUCAUACGAGACUGCCGGUAAAAGCCGGAGGAAGGUGAGGAUGAUGUCAAGUCAGCAUGACCUUUAUAUCCAGGGCUACACACACGCUACAAUGGUCUGUACAAUGGGUAGCCAAGCCGCGAGGCGGAGCCAAUCCUGAAAGCAGGCCUCAGUUCAGAUUGCAGUCUGCAACUCGACUGCAUGAAGCCGGAGUUGCUAGUAACCGCAGGUCAGCAAUACUGCGGUGAAUACGUUCCCGGGUCCUU